rnacentral:rRNA from 1 species
AUUGAACGCUGGCGGCAGGCCUAACACAUGCAAGUCGAGCGAGCGGCGGACGGGUGAGUAAUGUAUGGGGACUGCCCGAUAGAGGGGGAUAACUACUGGAAACGGUGGCUAAUACCGCAUACUAUCGGAUAACCCAUAUGGGAUUAGCUAGUAGGUAAGGUACUCGCUUACCUAGGCGACGAUCCCGAGGUGGUCUGAGAGGAUGAUCAGCCAGUCUGCGACUGCGAUACGGCCCCGACUCCGCCGGAGGCAGCAUUGUGGAAUAUUUCACAAUCGGCGCAAGCCUGAUGCAGCCAUGCCGCGUGUAUGAAGAAGGCCCUGGGUUUGUAAAGUACUUGCAGUCGGGAGGCGUUACCUACAGAAUAAGCACCGGCUAACUCCGUGCCAGCAGCCGCGGUAAUUC